UAAUUCAUGCAGUGCAGGUCAAGGCAGAUCUCCAGGUGGGGAACUUUAGUUAAUUAUAAUGUAUGAACUAAUGUGACAGAAUACAUGUGAGUCCUGAUUAAACUAAACUCUAAGCCAUAUUUUUACAUCCCUCCAGGUCCAGUUGACA